rnacentral:rRNA from 1 species
AGCGCAGGCGGAUUGGUAAGUGGAAAGUGGAAUCCCGGGGCUCAACCUCGGAAGUGCUUUCCAUACUGCCAGUCUUGAGUUCGUGAGAGGAAAGCGGAAUUCAGGGUGUAGCGGUGAAAUGCUUAGAUAUCCUGAGGAACACCAAUGGCGAAAGCAGCUUUCUGGCGCGAUACUGACGCUGAGGCUCGAAAGCGUGGGGAGCGAACAGGAUUAGAUACCCUGGUAGUCC